rnacentral:rRNA from 1 species
UCCAUGAAGUCGGAAUCGCUAGUAAUCGUGGAUCAGAAUGCCACGGUGAAUACGUUCCCGGGCCUUGUACACACCGCCCGUCACACCAUGGGAGUGGGUUGCAAAAGAAGUAGGUAGCUUAACCUUCGGGAGGGCGCUUACCACUUUGUGAUUCAUGACUGGGGUGAAGUCGUAACAAGGUAACCGUAGGGGAACCUGCGGUUGGAUCACCUCCUU